rnacentral:lncRNA from 1 species
AGUUCUUGUUCACACUUGGAGUUAAUUUGUUUCUUAUUUUGUAACGUGUUAUUUUGUUAGCAAGUUUCUGGAAUUUAAUGCGAGGAUUAAAUUAGUAUAAUCAAUGUUUUAAUAACUGGUGGUAAUAGUAGUUUGAGGAACUUCAGGGAUUUUUUUUCUAGUGUAUUUUUCGGAAACAACGUCUCUACCUUCAUUGUCUCUACCUUCAUUAGGUAGCGCGAAGGUCUAGCUACACUUCACCCUCCCAGACCUCACUUGUGAGAUUUUACCUUCAUUAGGUAGCGCGAAGGUCUAGGUACACUUCACCCUCCCAGACUUCACUUGUGGGAUUUUACUGGGCUUGUUGUUGUUGUCGUCGUCGUUGUUGUUGUUGUUGUAUUUUUUAAUUUAUUUUUGCUUAGAGUGGGACUUCACUGGGCUUGUUUUUGUUGUUAUUUUAAUUGGGGAAUAGAGUUGGAGAAAAUGGCAGGUGGAAGGAGGAAAAUACGGUUCAGUAAGUUAUAUAGUUUUUCAUGUAUGAAGUGUUCGUUAAAGGAGGAACAUAGUCAAAUUGGGAAGAGGGGAUUUUCGAGGAUCGUGUAUUGUAAUGAUCCUGAUAAUCAAGAACAGGUGCAGCUCAAGUACAGAGGG